GAAUCAACGCUGGCGGCGUGCCUAACACAUGCAAGUCGAACGAGAAAGGGACUUCGGUCCUGAGUAUAGUUGCGCACGGGUGAGUAACACGUGAAUAAUCUACCUCCGAGUGGGGAAUAACUGAGAGAAAUCUUAGCUAAUACCGCAUAACACUUACGAGUCAAAGCAGCAAUGCGCUUGGAGAGGAGUUCGCGGCCGAUUAGUUAGUUGGCGGGGUAAUGGCCCACCAAGACGAUGAUCGGUAUCCGGCCUGAGAGGGCGCACGGACACACUGGAACUGAAACACGGUCCAGACUCCUACGGGAGGCAGCAGUGGGGAAUUUUGCGCAAUGGGGGAAACCCUGACGCAGCAACGCCGCGUGGAGGAUGAAGUAUCUUGGUACGUAAACUCCUUUCGAUGGGGAAGAUAAUGACGGUACCCAUAGAAGAAGCCCCGGCUAACUUCGUGCCAGCAGCCGCGGUAAUACGAGGGGGGCAAGCGUUGUUCGGAUUUAUUGGGCGUAAAGGGUGCGUAGGCGGUUUGGCAAGUCUCAUGUGAAAUCUUCGGGCUCAACCCGAAGCCUGCAUGAGAAACUACCGGGCUUGAGUAUGGGAGAGGUGAGUGGAAUUUCCGGUGUAGCGGUGAAAUGCGUAGGUAUCGGAAGGAACACCUGUGGCGAAAGCGGCUCACUGGACCAUAACUGACGCUGAAGCACGAAAGCUAGGGGAGCAAACAGGAUUAGAUACCCUGGUAGUCCUAGCCCUAAACGAUGAUUGCUUGGUGUGGCAGGUACCCAAUCCUGCCGUGCCGAAGCUAACGCGAUAAGCAAUCCGCCUGGGGAGUACGGUCGCAAGGCUGA
rnacentral:rRNA from 1 species